rnacentral:rRNA from 1 species
AAGACCUUGCGCUUUUGGAGCGGCCGAUGUCUGAUUAGCUUGUUGGUGAGGUAAAGGCUUACCAAGGCUUCGAUCAGUAGCUGGUCUGAGAGGACGGCCAGCCACACUGGGACUGAGACACGGCCCAGACUCCUACGGGAGGCAGCAGUGGGGAAUUUUGGACAAUGGGGGCAACCCUGAUCCAGCCAUGCCGCGUGAGUGAAGAAGGCCUUCGGGUUGUAAAGCUCUUUCAGCCGGAACGAAACGGUUACGGUUAAUACCCGUGACUACUGACGGUACCGGAAGAAGAAGCACCGGCUAACUACGUGCCAGCAGCCGCGGUAAUACGUAGGGUGCAAGCGUUAAUCGGAAUUACUGGGCGUAAAGCGUGCGCAGGUGGUUUUGUAAGUCAGAUGUGAAAGCCCCGGGCUCAACCUGGGAACU